rnacentral:siRNA from 1 species
AGUGAAAGAUAUUGUAGUGUAUA